GAUCAUGGCUCAGGAUGAACGCUAGCGACAGGCUUAACACAUGCAAGUCGAGGGGCAGCACGGGAGUAGCAAUACAACUGGUGGCGACCGGCGCACGGGUGAGUAACGCGUAUGCAACCUACCUAUCAGAGGGGAAUAACCCGGCGAAAGUCGGACUAAUACCGCAUAAAACAGGGGCACCGCAUGGUGAUAUUUGUUAAGAAAUUCGCUGAUAGAUGGGCAUGCGUUCCAUUAGGUAGUUGGUGAGGUAACGGCUCACCAAGCCGACGAUGGAUAGGGGAACUGAGAGGUUGGUCCCCCACACUGGUACUGAGACACGGACCAGACUCCUACGGGAGGCAGCAGUGAGGAAUAUUGGUCAAUGGGCGAGAGCCUGAACCAGCCAAGUCCGCGUGAAGGAAGAAGGAUCUAUGGUUCGUAAACUUCUUUUGCAGGGGAAUAAAGUGCGGGACGUGUCCUGUUUUGUAUGUACCCUGAGAAUAAGGAUCGGCUAACUCCGUGCCAGCCGCGGC
rnacentral:rRNA from 1 species